GAUGAACGCUGGCGGCGUGCCUAAUACAUGCAAGUCGAGCGAACAGAUGAGGAGCUUGCUCCUCUGACGUUAGCGGCAGACGGGUGAGUAACACGUGGAUAACCUACCUAUAAGACUGGGAUAACUUCGGGAAACCGGAGCUAAUACCGGAUAAUAUAUUGAACCGCAUGGUUCAAUAGUGAAAGACGGUUUUGCUGUCACUUAUAGAUGGAUCCGCGCCGCAUUAGCUAGUUGGUAAGGUAACGGCUUACCAAGGCGACGAUGCGUAGCCGACCUGAGAGGGUGAUCGGCCACACUGGAACUGAGACACGGUCCAGACUCCUACGGGAGGCAGCAGUAGGGAAUCUUCCGCAAUGGGCGAAAGCCUGACGGAGCAACGCCGCGUGAGUGAUGAAGGUCUUCGGAUCGUAAAACUCUGUUAUUAGGGAAGAACAAAUGUGUAAGUAACUAUGCACGUCUUGACGGUACCUAAUCAGAAAGCCACGGCUAACUACGUG
rnacentral:rRNA from 1 species